rnacentral:rRNA from 1 species
GACGAACGCUGGCGGCGUGCCUAAUACAUGCAAGUGGGACGCAAGGAAACACACUGUGCUUGCACACCGUGUUUUCUUGAGUCGCGAACGGGUGAGUAACGCGUAGGUAACCUGCCUAUUAGCGGGGGAUAACUAUUGGAAACGAUAGCUAAUACCGCAUAAUAUUAAUUAUUGCAUGAUACUUGAUUGAAAGAUGCAAGCGCAUCACUAGUAGAUGGACCUGCGUUGUAUUAGCUAGUUGGUAAGGUAAGAGCUUACCAAGGCGACGAUACAUAGCCGACCUGAGAGGGUGAUCGGCCACACUGGGACUGAGACACGGCCCAGACUCCUACGGGAGGCAGCAGUAGGGAAUCUUCGGCAAUGGACGAAAGUCUGACCGAGCAACGCCGCGUGAGUGAAGAAGGUUUUCGGAUCGUAAAGCUCUGUUGUAAGUCAAGAACGUGUGUGAGAGUGGAAAGUUCACACAGUGACGGUAGCUUACCAGAAAGGGACGGCUAACUACGUG